UUAUAAGUGUUUUUAAGUUUCUUUAUGGCUAACAUGUUUCACAUCAUGUGACUUUAUUUCAAUUGUGUAACACUUGUCAGAAACCAAAAGAGGGCGAUAUCUCUCAGUAUUACACUUAACAGAGAAGUUUCUUUUAGGUUUUCACAAGCUCCUCCUCAGAGUCUUUAUGAUAUUUAUGAAAGCAAAACUCUCUCAUUGACAGAUUUAUUUCGACUUCAGUGUCAAUUUAAAACAGAUCAUGAGGUGGAUGAGGAAUAUAUUUCUGUUUGCACUGUUCAGUCUUGAGUGCAGAUCAGAAGAGAAAGUUGAUCAGCCAGUCAAACAUGUGACUGAAGUUGAAGGAAAAUCAGUGACAUUAGAUUGUACAUAUACGACAACUUCAGCACAGGCAUACCUCUUCUGGUACAUCCAGAGAGCAAAUGACUUUCCUAAAUACAUCCUGAGAAGGGACAAGGUUGGAGUUGGAGAAAAUGGCACUGAGUUCCAGGAGAGAUUUCACUCUGAACUUUCAUCAAAUUCAGUUCCUCUGAUGAUCAAGGAUCUGCGUGUGUCUGACUCUGCUGUGUACUACUGUGCUCUGAAGCCCACAGUCACAGGAAACACAUCAGAUCUAUACAAAAACCUGUUACAAUGAGACAGAGACGAACACAGAUAGAAAGAAACUGUAACUGACAAUUACAGUAUUAUGUAUGUCAGAAAAGUAAUAGAACUAAUGAAUAAAUCACAGGUACCAAA